rnacentral:rRNA from 1 species
UACAGAGGGGGCAAGCGUUGUUCGGAAUUACUGGGCGUAAAGGGCGCGUAGGCGGUGUGUCAAGUCAGGCGUGAAAGCCCCGGGCUCAACCUGGGAACCGCGCUUGAGACUGGCACGCUAGAGUUCGGGAGAGGAUGGUGGAAUUCCCAGUGUAGAGGUGAAAUUCGUAGAUAUUGGGAAGAACACCGGAUGGCGAAGGCAGCCAUCUGGACCGACACUGACGCUGAGGCGCGAAAGCGUGGGGAGCA